GACGAACACUGGCGGCGUGCCUAAUACAUGCAAGUCGAACGCAGUGGGGACGGGUGAGUAACACGUGGGUAACCGCCCAUCAGAGGGGAUAACACUUGGAAACAGGUGCUAAACCGACACUGAUGGAUGGACCCGCGGUGCAUUAGCGAGUCGGUGGGGAAAAGGCUCACCAAGGCCACGAUGCAGAGCCGGGCUGAGAGGGUGAUCAGCCACACUGGGACUGAGACACGGCCCAGACUCCUACGGGAGGCAGCAGUGGGGAAUCUUGGGCAAUGGACGAAAGUCUGACCGAGCAACGCCGCGUGAAUGAAGAAGGUUUUCGGAUCGUAAAGCUCUGUUGGUAGAGAAGCGGUAUCUAACGAAAAAGCAACGGCUAACUACGUGCCAGCAGCCGCGGUAAUAC
rnacentral:rRNA from 1 species